rnacentral:rRNA from 1 species
GAUGAACGCUGGCGGCGUGCCUAAUACAUGCAAGUCGAGCGAACAGAUGAGGAGCUUGCUCCUCUGACGUUAGCGGCGGACGGGUGAGUAAUACGUGGAUAACCUACCUAUAAGACUGGGAUAACUUCGGGAAACCGGAGCUAAUACCGGAUAAUAUAUUGAACCGCAUGGUUCAAUAGUGAAAGACGGUUUUGCUGUCACUUAUAGAUGGAUCCGCGCCGCAUUAGCUAGUUGGUAAGGUAACGGCUUACCAAGGCGACGAUGCGUAGCCGACCUGAGAGGGUGAUCGGCCACACUGGAACUGAGACCCGGUCCCGACUCCCACGGGAGGCAGCAGUAGGGAAUCUUCCGCAAUGGGCGAAAGCCUGACGGAGCAACGCCGCGUGAGUGAUGAAGGUCUUCGGAUCGUAAAACUCUGUUAUUAGGGAAGAACAAAUGUGUAAGUAACUAUGCACGUCUUGACGGUACCUAAUCAGAAAGCCACGGCUAACUACGUG